GGCUACGUAGCUCAGGUGGUUAGAGCACAUCACUCAUAAUGAUGCUGUCCUGGGUUCAAUUCCCGUCGUAGUCACUA
rnacentral:tRNA from 1 species